GCCCGCACAAGCGGUGGAGCAUGUGGUUUAAUUCGAUGCAACGCGAAGAACCUUACCUGGUCUUGACAUCCACAGAACUUUCCAGAGAUGGAUUGGUGCCUUCGGGAACUGUGAGACAGGUGCUGCAUGGCUGUCGUCAGCUCGUGUUGUGAAAUGUUGGGUUAAGUCCCGCAACGAGCGCAACCCUUAUCCUUUGUUGCCAGCGGUCCGGCCGGGAACUCAAAGGAGACUGCCAGUGAUAAACUGGAGGAAGGUGGGGAUGACGUCAAGUCAUCAUGGCCCUUACGACCAGGGCUACACACGUGCUACAAUGGCGCAUACAAAGAGAAGCGACCUCGCGAGAGCAAGCGGACCUCAUAAAGUGCGUCGUAGUCCGGAUUGGAGUCUGCAACUCGACUCCAUGAAGUCGGAAUCGCUAGUAAUCGUGGAUCAGAAUGCCACGGUGAAUACGUUCCCGGGCCUUGUACACACCGCCCGUCACACCAUGGGAGUGGGUUGCAAAAGAAGUAGGUAGCUUAACCUUCGGGAGGGCGCUUACCACUUUGUGAUUCAUGACUGGGGUGAAGUCGUAACAAGGUAACCGUAGGGGAACCUGCGGUUGGAUCAC
rnacentral:rRNA from 1 species